GGCAACGGAUAUCUCGGCUCUUGCAUCGAUGAAGAACGUAGCAAAAUGCUAUACUUGGUGUGAAUUGCAGAAUCCCGUGAACCAUCGAGUCUUUGAACGCAAGUUGCGCCUGAAGCCAUUAGGUUGAAGGCACGUCUGCCUGGGCGUC
rnacentral:rRNA from 1 species